AUUCUCACUCCAAAGGCGUCAAAAACCGAAGAAUGGUCAAGCGCCCCUAGCGUCACUUUUCUGACGCCAAAUGUGCCUCUCGGCGUCGAAAUAUUGACGCACUACGACCUUCAUUGCUUUCAGUGGGAAACUUUUGGCGUCAGAAUUUCGACGCGAGGACAUGAGAUGUUUAUCGCUAUGAAAUCACGUUCAAGAAGUCUCAUUCAGCACACAUCGCGAUACUUGCCAUCAGUUCCACAGUUUGGCUGAAAAGACGUAAAGGCAGUCAGUCCAGUGGUGUUUCUGGAGAGGUAUUCCUCUAGAAAUGGAGAAGACAGAAAGCUGCGGAGACAGACAUUUGCAGCAGAUUGUUUGCAGAUAACACUGUAGUUCUCCAUCAUGCACAAGGACUCACCUCGUUAACUCUUUAUCCCCCCCACACACAGAAAUUGUCCCUGGAUCAGUGAUUAGACUUUGCAGUGGUUUGAUUUUUGCAAAAGAUGUAACUUUGUUUUAAUUAUAAGCUCAUAAUGAAUACAUUACAGAACCAGUGAUGAAAACAAUAGUUAAAAAUAGUAUUUUUCGCAUUGAUA